rnacentral:lncRNA from 1 species
CCCGCUCAGGAGCGCGGGCCUUGCGCCAAGAGCCUGCGCAGCCCACCCUGCAAAAUGGCGGCAGCAACUCUUAGCUGGGUUUUUAAUCCUGGGUGGGCCUGAGAAGCUUUUAACUACAUCAGAAAUGGAAGCUUUAACUUAAAUUGACCCAGACUUUUGGCACCUAAAAAUGGGACUAUUCUAAUACCUUGAAAGUGACAGAAGCGCCAAGCAACGCUCAACACACUGCGUGGAUGGAGAAGGGAGAAUUGACAAGGUAAAGUUUAAGUUUAAAGAAAGAAAAAGCUGUUUGCUUCUUUUCUCCUACCAAGUCAGGCCUGCGAAAUAUGCCACAUUCACACAAGAACCCCAAGUCAAACUCAAACUAGAUGGAAAAAAAAAAAAGAGGCAAGGCUGAUGAGACUCGGUGGUGAAGUGCAUUGCCAGGGCCACAUGACUCUGAAAUUCUCUCAACUCCACCCUCCCUGGCUCUGUUCCUGGUUUGAAUUCCCUCAUAGAACCAACAUGCAUAUUCUUUCUCUUCAUUUCCAAGGGCUGAAGGGUAAGGGGUGGGGGUAGGAGACCUGUCUUUCUUCAAACUGUCAAAGAAAAGUCCAGAGAUUCUCCUGAUUGGAUUACCUUUGGUCAAGGUUCCCUCAGUGCUCCCCAUCUAUGUCCUGGGAAAUACUACUAGGUUCCUUGUUCUUCUGUCAUCCAGUCCCUGAGGGAGGGGAAGGGGGAUUACAGCAAAGGAUUUAGGCCACUCAGGGCACAUCCUGGAACUGAAGAAAAAGUCAGUCCUCCUCAAGUCAUGUGACUGGAAAGUUCAGGAUCCUCUAGGACCUGGAGUAGAUGUUGGGGAGAUAACUUCAGGGUGUGUCUUAUCUCAUUUUUUUUGUUGUUUUUGUUUGUUUGGUUUUUUUGCCAUUUCUUGGGCCACUCCCACAGUAUAUGGAGGUUCCCAGGCUGGGGGUCUAAUCGGAGCUGUAGCCACCGGCCUACGCCAGAGCUACAGCAAUGUGGGAUCUGAGCCUCGUCUGCGACCUACACCACAGCUCACGGCAAUGCCGGAUCCUUAACCCACUGAGCAAGGGCAGGGAUCGAACCCGCAACCUCAUGGUUCCUAGUCGGAUUCGUUAACCACUGCGCCACAACGGGAACUCCCAGAAACCAGUUUUUAAGUAUUUUCUAGGACUCCCUGGUGGUCUAGUGGGUUAAGGGCCCAGUGUUGUCACUGCUGUGGUUGGGGUCACUGGUGUGGUGCAGGUUUGAUGCCUGGCCUGGGAAUGUUCACAUGCUGUAGGCGUGGCCAAGUAAAUAAAUGAAAUACUUUCUAGGGAGUUCCUACUGUGGCUUAGUGGGUUAAGAACCCAACUAGUAUCCACAAGGAUGCAGGUUCGAUCCCUGGCCUUGAUCGGUAGGUUAAGGAUCCAGCAUUGCUCCGAGCUGUGAUGUAGGUUGCAGAUGCAGCUUGGAUCUCAUGUUACUGUGGCUGUGGCAUACACCUGCAGCUGCAGCUCCAGUUCAACCCCUAGCCUGGGAACUU